rnacentral:rRNA from 1 species
UACGUAGGGGGCAAGCGUUGUCCGGAAUUAUUGGGCGUAAAGCGCGUGUAGGCGGCCAGAAAAGUCCGCUGUGAAAACUCGAGGCUCAACUUCGAGCUGUCGGUGGAAACUUUCUGGCUAGAGUCCGGAAGAGGAGAAUGGAAUUCCUGGUGUAGCGGUGAAAUGCGCAGAUAUCAGGAGGAACACCGGUGGCGAAGGCGGAUCUCUGGGCCUUACCUGACGCUGAGGCGCGAAAGCUAGGGGAGCGAACAGG